rnacentral:other from 1 species
CGAGCCCUGCGGUGUGCGGGAUUGCCCGACCUGUUCGGAGCCGACAAGCACACGCUUGGGAGACGGACUCGCCCCUCGCGGGCGGCCGUUUCCACCCGUUUCGUUCGGGGUUUCCGGACAUUGACGGCACCCGGCACAGCGGGGCAUCU